AGUUCACGGCGAAGUGAAGCGGCAACAGCUCAAAUUUGAAAUCUGGCUUCGGCCCGAGUUGUAAUUUGUAGAGGAUGCUUUGGGCGCGGCUCUGACUGAGUUCCCUGGAACGGGACGCCACAGAGGGUGAGAGCCCCGUAUAGUUAGAUGCCUAGCCUAUGUAAAGCUCCUUCGACGAGUCGAGUAGUUUGGGAAUGCUGCUCUAAAUGGGAGGUAAAUUUCUUCUAAAGCUAAAUAUUGGCCAGAGACCGAUAGCGCACAAGUAGAGUGAUCGAAAGAUGAAAAGCACUUUGAAAAGAGGGUUAAAUAGCACGUGAAAUUGUUGAAAGGGAAGCGCUUGUGACCAGACUUGCGCCGGGCAGAUCAUCCGGUGUUCUCACCGGUGCACUCUGCCCGGCUCAGGCCAGCAUCGGUUCUCGUGGGGGGAUAAAGGUCCCGGGAACGUAGCUCCUCCGGGAGUGUUAUAGCCCGGGGCGUAAUGCCCUCGUGGGGACCGAGGUUCGCGCAUCU
rnacentral:rRNA from 2 species